rnacentral:rRNA from 1 species
AUUGAACGCUGGCGGAAUGCUUUACACAUGCAAGUCGAGCGGCAGCGCGGGGGCAACCCUGGCGGCGAGCGGCGAACGGGUGAGUAACACAUCGGAACGUACCCUGUCGUGGGGGAUAACACAUCGAAAGAUGUGCUAAUACCGCAUACGACCUGAGGGUGAAAGCGGGGGAUCGCAAGACCUCGCGCGACUGGAGCGGCCGAUGUCGGAUUAGCUAGUUGGUGAGGUAAAGGCUCACCAAGGCGACGAUCCGUAGCGGGUCUGAGAGGACGGCCCGCCACACUGGGACUGAGACACGGCCCAGACUCCUACGGGUGGCUG